rnacentral:rRNA from 1 species
GAUCCUGGCUCAGGACGAACGCUGGCGGCGUGCUUAACACAUGCAAGUCGAACGAGAAUCUGUGGAACGAGGAUUCGUCCAAGUGAAGCAGAGGACAGUGGCGGACGGGUGAGUAACGCGUGAGGAACCUGCCUUUCAGAGGGGGACAACAGUUGGAAACGACUGCUAAUACCGCAUAACACAUGGGUGUCGCAUGGCACUGAUGUCAAAGAUUUAUCGCUGAAAGAUGG